UUUCUGAGUGUACUUCUAUUAUUAUGAAAGUGAAGAAAUGUAAAAGAACUGUGGGAGGCAUAAACAAGUAUAGAGAAGCACUGAAAAGGAAGCCUUGUAUGUUCACCUGAACUGGAAUAAGAGGCCUGGAGGAAGGGGAGAGGCUCUUGAAUCUUGAAAGGCAGAGGUGUUUUUACUGCUUUUUUAUACUGUUGAAAUUGUGACCUUUCAAAAAUAAUAUUUUAAUUGCUUUGAUGCCUGUUUUUUGCUUAGGUUAUAUUAUCAUUUUGAGCUCACAGUUUAUUGGAUAGAGGAUAAGGUAAAUAGAAAAGGGAAACAGAAACCUACCUAGAGUUUGUAUCAGAAAAGUGACUGAAUGACUAACAGAUGCUUCAAUGCAUGUUUAAACAUGUAUUAGAGUUCCAAAUACAUCUCAGAAGUGCAGAGCAUCAGUUGCCACUUCAUAGUGACAAAUUAGUUACCUGCAUCAGAUUCCUCAUGGCUUUGAGCUGUCUCUGUGUUAAGUACAAUAUUUCAGGAUGGACCACAGUAUUGAAAGACAGAUGUUUGAUUGAUCUUGUGUUUUAUUUUCAUGUGUACACUAGUGAUUAGAAAUGAAAACCCAGAUUGUACCCUAGCUUCUAGGACGAGAGGGUCCCCCAAGUAAGGAGCAUAAAAGUUCAAUAGAUGUGGUGCAAAAGCAGUAGCAUUUUGCAUAGUUGACCAGAAUAUGGUAGUAUGAUGUAGGGGACAAGAGAAGAACACAAGUUUUCCAGCUGUGGGUUGUGUUUCUUAUUGAAGCAGUUACAGAACUCGUCUAUUUUCUUUUUGCUUAAACACAAGUUCAGACAAGAAGCCUAAAUGAACAAGGAACUUUUGUUCUUUAGCUGUACUGGCCAUGUUUUCGUACUCCGUCAAUCAUUAUUAAGCAAAUCUAAUUUCUUGUAACCUGGAUGUUUUUGUGAGUCAGUCAUAUCCAUGGAAGUGAUCCCUGUGGUCAGACAUGCUGGUCCUGCAUAAUAAACACAGGAUGGUUUUCCCUGCAUUUUACUGUUAUGAUUAGGAAGCAGUUAAUUUUGGAAGCUUACAGCUGCAUUUUGGCUUAAUGUUAACAUUCUGUUUAGGCCUUUUGGUGGCUAAGAAUUACCUUAUUUUUCUUUGCCAGAAAUAUUGCUUCUUAUUAUUUUUCUUAAAUAAAAGACCUGUAGAGAUUUUCAUUAAUUUUUGUGGAAGAAGCUAUAUGGAAUCGUUCCUGCAAGACAGGGAGGGAAAUGGGCCCGAAGCUGAAGGUCCUGGGCAUCCUGUUCUGUCUGUGCUCCUUGAUACAAAAUAUCUUUGCCUAUGUUGGUGUCUGUCUUUGUCCUGCUGCUGUAAUGGUGAAAGUAGCCACUUACAGAUAAAAAUUGCAUUAUAACUGUGAUACCGAAAGUUUGAUGUGCUCGACUAAAGGGAGUUUAGGGGCCUGAAAGCUUGUGCACUGCCAUCUGGAUGGUGAAAGAAGCAGCUUUGUCCUCUUAGAAGCCAUGAUGCUGUGCCUUUUUCUGGCUCUUUCUACAGAAGUGUGCCUUGGGAGCGGCCCUGGGGAGCAACGGCACAAGUAUUGCACCAGAUUUGCAUCACCAGAGAGCCCAGGCUCAUUAGAAUGCUCCUUCUAUUCACGGCUUUACAGUUUUGCAUGGCUUUUGGGUAGCGGUGAGAAACCUCUGAAAGAGGUGGGAAUGCCAGAGAGAGCAACCAGCUUGUGCAUUCUGCUCCUGCUUUAGGUUCACAGUAAAGAUGAAGUUGCUGGUUACUCAGGGUUACAUACAUCUUAUGUCAUAAUAGAUAAUCUAAAGAAUCAAAGUUAUGGAAAUUAUAUAUUUAGGGAUCAAACCACACAAUGGAACAAAAUUCUUCAAAUUGCUCAAAAGCAAAAUCCAUUAAAAUUCUUGCUGCUUGUAAAAAGCUUUAGCUGCAUUUUGAAUGAAAACAUCCUACAAUCAGAAACCUACAUGGUUUGACGAGCAAAUAUGGAAAGCAAAGGUUUCUGUGUUUCUGAUUUCUCCCCCUCUUUUCCACCUGUCAAAUUAAUUCACUUAAUCCAAAUUUGCAAAAGGUUUUUUAUCUCUGGAAGAUGUUUUUAAGUAGUUUAUUGUUUCUUUUGCAAACAAAGAGGGAAAAAGAAAUCUCAACAACAAAACCUCAGUUGUAUUUUACCUGUGUUCUCAUUAUUUUCUCAAAGUCCCCUAAGAAAAUAAAAAACUCUUUCUUGUGCCUCAUAGUUCUUAUAACCUGAAGAGCAGUUCAGUAAAGCUUAUGAUAGUUUCUUCGCUGGCUUUAAGACACUCUGUUUUCACUCUGUAGAGCUUAAUGUUAAAAAACUAAUGGGAAAUUUCACUUAUUUGUAAGUGAUUUGUUUCUGUCAGUACUAAAAGAGCAAUGUUAAGGUUGAUACACCUGCACAGCUUGUAUGGUGGUAAAUAAAGGAGCUGCCUGGUGUAUCUGCAUACGUUGUCACAAAUCUUAAGCCAAGGUCAAAACCUUAAUUUCAAGCCUUAACACACUUCCAUUUGCCUUGUUCAAACACUAUAUAUAGGCUUAUAUCCUGCAAAUGGUGGUGUGAGGCUCAUCCAAGGGUCAUGCCUGAUAAAUGAGUUAGGAUUCAGGUCUACACAUGGUAUAACCCCUGCUCAAACUGACACAGGACAAAAGAGUAGAAAUCUGGAGUUCUGUCAAAGUUUCCUUCCUUUGCUUCAUAUCUAUUCCUGGUACCUGGCCAGGGCACCACUGAUCAACUGUUCCCAAUUAGAAAUUGGAAAAAAAAAAAAGCCUAUGGGCAGGCACUGGGGAGUGCCAGGUUUUCUUUGUAGCUCUGGUGUGAGCUUAAAAACAUCUCUAAGGUGGGUGUCAGGAUGAGAGCAGUAAUUAUUUGAAAUCAUUUAUAUCUUUUAUAAUAUUUUAAAUUCCUGAGGGUAUAGUUAAUCUGUAGGUACCACCAUUUCACAUGUGGUUUUUCUUUAAUUUUAGAAAUGUUGGUGCACAGAGUCUGAAAAAACAAGUUGACAGUACAGCACACUACAGGUAGUGGUAAAUGGAGAUAGUCUCUUAACAAGGCUCGGGUUUUGUAGCCAUAUGUACAAGAUAUGAGAAGCAAAAUACAUAUUGUGUAGGAAUAGCUCUGUUCCCAUGGCUGUGGGUGUAUCAGUGUGUGCAGCAGCCAGAUAACUAUCCUGCAAAACACUCUGCAAAGGGCAGUGCCUGUAUCUAACUGCCAGAUCAGCAGCUCUGCUUCCUCCCAGGGGUGCAUCGUCCUGCAAUCUGCCCAACAAGGCCUUAUGGCUUUUUUGUGUGUUUUGUUGCUUAUUUGAGUUUUUCUUUUUGGAGGAAGGAUUUUGUUGACCUCUUAUUACCAUGCAGUGAAUAAGAUCACCUGGCAUUAACACUUGGAAGAAUAUUUGACAAACAUCACCUCAGAAAUUCAGUCCUCCUGACACCGUGGGCCACCAGAUAUAAAUACAUCAAAACAGUUCUUCCAUUAACCUCAUACCACCAGUCUGUAUUUUUGGGCUGUGGGAUACUGUCUGAAUAUGAAAUAUUAAUUGUGAAAUGAACUGUACAUGGGGAUUCAAACUAAAAAGCAAUUUUAGGCAGUUCUCUUAUUCCUUUUGACUAAAAAUUUUAUUCUGGACCUAAGCAACCAUUUCUUCCUCAACAUUUUAGCAAAAGUAAACCAUUCCCAUUAAAGUUUCCAUUACUAUAACUUAACUUUUUUUUUCCAUUGUGGAAUGAACUUCCAUUUCACACUUCUUUAUAGAAUUAUACAACUUUAUAGAACGAUGCAACUAUUUACAGAAUUAAGCCAUAGUGAGGUCUUUGUCAGAUGGGGUCCCAGUAUGGUAUUAUGGUAUUAAGGAAGACAGCACAUUCUUGUAGAUUUGAUACAUAGACUCAGAAAUUUUUGGUCCAGAAAGCAUUUGGUUCAUUUUCAGGUGACUGACUGGGGCUAGUUCACUUUUUCUUAUAUCCUGAUUUCCAUUCAAAAAUGGGAAUUUUGAUACUGAUCUCAUUCAUAACAUACUGCAGAAUGUACAGAUGGAAAUGCUACGCGUAUUCUAUUUAUAUGAAAUGCGUAUUAUAAGGCAAGAUUGUCUAUUAAAGAGAUUCAAAGAUUGAACUUUUCUAAGUCUUUCGUUUUAUUGGCAUUCUUAAAUAAUUGAAGCGUGUAGAAGAGGUACAUUUAGCUAUCUUGCUGGAAACAAGGACUUGAUCCAUAGGACUGCAUCCCUUAUGAGUCCUUUGGUUUUUGCUUGGAAAAUGGCAUAGUUUAUCCUGAAGCCAGUCCUGUGUUAUCAAGUAGGCAUCUGAUUUGAGACAAUUCUGCUGACUGACCAGAUUCAUAGAAGAGUUUUAUGUCUGGCCCAUGAGUGUGAUCAGAUUGCUCUGAUUUCACUCAUAGUUUUGUAGUUGUAUUUUUUUGCACCUGUGAAGCUUUGGCUGCUGUGAAGGUGAGGGGUGGAGGAGGGGUUGUCCUGUCAGUUUACAUUAAUUGAUGAUCUUUCCCAACACUUUCCCUCUGCCUACCCUUGUCUCUUGGGUUGACACCCUAUGGGUGAUGUUGACUGCAGAGCAGUAGCCCCAUGCUAAUGGGCAAGGCUUGAUGCAGACAUUGGGCACUGGAGUAUGCUAUCAGUGAACACUCUCAAUAUAGGAAGGUAAUAGAAAUUCAUGUCUCUUCCUGAAUUUGUGAGCAUGUCCAUCUAGCUAAUAAAAACCCCAAAGGAUGGCUCUUUUAUAUCCUGACAAAAAGGCUUUUCGAUUAAUCUGUAUUAAGUAAUAUAGUUUAGUUUAUUGUAAACAUGUAAAAACAAUUGGUUUUGUUUGUUGGUGUUUUUUUUGGGUUUUUUGUUUUUUUUUUUUUUGUUGGCAUCUAAAUUUCUCAUUAUCAUUUUUGACUAUGUGUUUGUUCUUUCCAGACACCGGUACUGUAGUUAUAGGCAUUGAUUUAUCUUUCCUUUUCCCUGAUAAAAAAUCAUGUUAAUAUGAUAUCCUGCAGUUCUCUGAUGUUUACGUAGUAUCAGCACAGGGAAAUACUACUUUCAGUUUGAUACAUAAAGCCCUCCUUGUCUCUUGUGUCUUUUGUCUGCAGGCUAUUAUGCAUGUGACUAAAGCCAUGCAUGACUUGAGCAAAUGUUUGAAUAGGGUUCUUGUGUAGUAGGACUGUAUAAGCCAUUAGGCAUACUCUCUUUAACUUGCUGAUGAAAACAUUAUGGUACAUUUGGUCACACAAAGUAGAGUAAAAUUGCUUUUGUGGCAGCAGAAUAAACAGCAUUCUAAUCUGUGGGGUUUUUUAUUGUGCACGUGUGUGUGUGCUGCAUACUUGUGGCAAAAUUAUCAAGCAGGACUGAACAUGAAAAGUGUUAAAGUUAUUUGAGUUGUGGAGUAAAAGCUGGGCUGAAGAGAGAAAAAAUGUAUUGCUUUUUUCAUUCUGAAAUUUGAAAUCAAUAUUAUUCUCUCAUAUUUGUGAUCUGAGCCUGCAAUCUGUUAAUUGACAUGUGAGGCAGUUGCUAACCAUCUUUGUCAUUUAUAAAGCCUUUUGUAAGGGCAUUGUUUUUCUUUCUUUCUUCUCUAUAUGCGAUGAAUACUGGAGUAGGGACUUGUAUUUUUGCUGUGGGAAUGUGAAAAACACAGGAAGCUGCUCUCUGCCAAGUUAUUUCCCCAAGGAUCUGCUUUACAUACUGACAAUCAAUGGCCUGUCAGGUGUAGUUAUGCACCAUAGCAAUGAUAUGAGGUCAAUCAGACAAAACCAAGAUAUUUUGAAGUGAUCUGUUGAUUUUCUGUGCUGGGAGACCAGCAUGUGAAUCAUGUCAGCAACAAUACUCCAUGUUUCAAAAUAUGUAAAAAGAUUACAGUUCUUCAAACAGAAGAAGAAGAGAUCUGGAUCUACAGCAGAGUGCUGGAAAAAGAACACAAAGAACAUGACCUUCUGGACUCCCAGCAGCAUCACAUCCUAACUUAAAAGAGCUACAGUUUCCUCUCACCACAAAGGUGCCUCCACAGACUCUGCUGUGUUGGAUAAAACCACUGGAGACCCCUGCUGAAAUCCUCCACCCAUGUUGAGAGCUUAAGAAACCUGAAAAAGCUCAAGAGAGAAUGGAAAUGCAUCAAACCAUCCCUUCCUCCUCCCACUUGCGAGCAGUGCUUUAUUUUAGAGGGUGCUAAGAGUUGCAAAAAGGAUUUCUAGGAGUGGAAACAAAGUGGCCUAGACUCCUCCUGUGCCAAGAAGCAACUGGGACAUCAGGUGAACAUACCUUCAAAUACAUUCAGCAUGCUUCUCUUCUUUCCAUUCACCUGACAAAAAGAUGCAGUUCAUAUUGACACACGUUUUGAAGAGCUACUGGUUGUUCCCUUGGAACUAGUGAUAUGGAGUCCAUCAGGAGAUGGAAAUUCAGGACCCUUGCCAAGUUUCCUAUUUGAACAAUUGCUUUCACCAUAAAUGAAGACAAGAGAUGAAAUUAAAUCUUCUGCUAAUCAAUGUAAGACCCCACUGGAUCCUGAGAUGAGCAGUGGAUGUGACCUGACCAGCCUUACUAGGGAAGAAAUUUUCCUCGGACUUUGCAACCAAACUCCUGUUGAACAAACCAGGGUCAGAGUUGCACAUGAUGCAGUCUCCUCUGCCUUCCUUUGCUCCUUCUGAUUGAGGUGAUGUUGACCAGCACUGUGACCUCAUCACUGAUGAUGGCAGCUAUGAGAAAUACAUCAUCUUCCUCAUGUUACAUGAGCAUGUGAAUGCCACCAGGACCAGGAUUGCACCUGAAUCUCCUGUUACAGUCAGUGUGAGUGGAGGAGACAGAGGAAAUGCCAGCACGAUGCCAGUUGCACAGAGGCAACAGACUGUAGGUCUGUGGAGGUCCAUCUCUAUAGCACACAAAGAAUAUAUAGUGUACUUCAAAUAUGCUGAAUGAAUAUUUGCUUUCCACAGAACUGAGAGCAGAUGGAAAUGGCAGAACUCAGUUUCUUGGCACUGUACUUAAGCCAUGACUUUGGAGCUACAGACGUAUACAGCUGCUCUGGAAGUCAGGCAACUCCACUCAAUAGCUCCCAGGUUACUCAAAGGGAUACUGUCCUGCUCUUGCAAGCUCACAAUUGUGUCUUGCCUCUCAUGACUGGGCAGGAAACAGGAAGAGACGUAAUUCUCACAAAUUUUCGCAAGGGAUGCAAAUACUCCUAACCCUAAGCUGCUCAGUUAUCAUGUAAUGCCCUUUGCCUUGUACAUAAUUUGAUAUUGCUAGUAUUUGAAAACUGAUGUAAUGUGCAAGAUCUACUUUACCUUGUUACCAAGGCGUGCAGUGAUCUAACUGGUCUGUGUCUGUUCCUGGUCCACCCCAGGUGUCCCUGCAGAGUACUUUCUUAGGCAUCCAUCUGCACUCCCUCUUGUCAAAUUCCAUUUCACACAAGGAAAACUGUUUGAUGUGCAUAAAUUUUCAUUGUGAUACAUGUGAUUACUAUUGUUUACAGCUGAUGAAAUUCAAAGUUUUAUUCACAGUAAUUAGAUAUGAGCUCGGUCCUUUUCCGGGAGCCAUUAAGCUGAAUCCUAAAGCUGUUUAAAAGAGGUCGUCUCAUAGCAGUGCCUGCAUCAGCAUCUAACAGAAUUUAACACAGUUGAGGCUGAGCUUUCCAGAAGUGGAUUAACUUCAUGCUUUCACCAUCUGUACAUGUGGAUGUGUUACUCCUCUCAGACCUGCUGAGCUGAAACCUUUUGCUACAAGAAGGAAGGACUUGUUUACCCUGCCCUUGCUCGUUUCUCCAGCCUGAGUGUGAAGAGAUGCAAGCCCAUUCCCUGAGCUUUGACUUUCUGGGGACAGCAGAAGCAAUAUGAUCCCCUUUUCCUCUCCUGUCAGACACCACACUCUGCUAAACUGUGCCUACAAUGUGCUUACCCUAGCUGAGAAAUCCUCCUCCAGGAGAUCAAUUUUUGCAGAUGGAAUCAUCCUGUGGCAGAUGGAAAUGAUAUGUUCAAAACAGCAUCCCACACCCAUUGGUAAAUGAUGCUCUUACAUGUGUGAAUUCAUUAUCUCUGUAGGGGCAAUACAGAAUUGAGUCAUGACAUAACCCAAGGUUAUCUUUAAGGAUGAGAUGAAACUGCCAGGCAUAAUGCCUUGAUUGAUGAAGAUAGAGCGUUGACAAAUGAAUAUAUGAUCUGCUCAAAUUAAAAGGAAAUUCAAUUCACAGGCUGAAACAGCAUUUAGAUACCAUUAAGUAUGAGAUAGAAACUGACAAGUCAGUAAAUUCUUCAGUGAGAAGAGUGUCCUAUCUGUGACUUUUCCGGCUUUUUAAAGUUUAUCCUGCAGGUGUAAUUAUUUACCUACAGUUAUCAUGUGUGUUGUCAUUUUCUCCUUUGUGACACAGUGUUUUAAAAAACGUCUUUUUUAGCAUACACUCUACAAAAACAUUCCUUCCCACAAAUACAACACAUUGCAUUUAACAUACUCCUGAAUCAUACAACAUAUAUACCUGUGGAUGUUUCCUCUAUGUAUUAUUAAUGUUUUGGUAUGAACUGAUCACACAAAACAAGAAAAAAUAAGGAAGGCCUUUUGCAGAAGAUAACCCUGCAUAAUAUUUUAGUAACCAAGUAUGCUUAUUUUGUUAGUCUCUUUGUAUAUACAUAGAUCACACAAUCACCCUACCAGUCUACUCACAGAAACUGUGUUUUGGUUUCAGAGAACCCAUUAUCACUGAAUCACAGAAUCAUAGAAUCAUAAAAUGGCCUGGGUCAGAAGGGAGCCUAAAAAUCAACUACUUCCAACCCUCCUGCUGUGGGCAGGGACACUUUUCUCUCCCAGAGCCUCAUCCAACCUGGCCUUGGACAAUUCCAGAGAUGUGGCAUCCAUAACUUCUCUGGUCAACCUAUUCCAAUGCCCCACUUGACCUUUGUUGCCCAUGGACACUGCUUUAGUGUAUUGACUUGGUCCCUUUCUCUGUUUUUUAAAAAUACUUGCUGUCAUGCAAUAACAUUACCAUACUCAAGGGCAAGGACAAGACUCUGGGCUUGUCUCUACAUCCAAUUCUGAGACUCCUGUUGGACAGAAGAGUAGAAUUCCCAGCAAUAUAAAACCAUUUCACACCAGAAUUCCAGUAACUGAACUUUCAGAAUGCAUUGGGAUGUGACUUUAUAUUAGUUAUUGCAUUUUUACUGUGAAAAAUUGCAUCUCAUUCUUCCCUAUUUUUAUCUCUUGGACUUCUGUUGAAUGUAAACUGAAUUUGACACCCAGUUGCCUCUAAAUAAGAUCACAGAUAUUCCAUUUUAGGCCUUGGAAACUUCAUAGGUCAAGGAAGAAGGUCCUCACCCAAGUCAAGUUAUUCCUGGGCAUGUUAAAUAAAGCCUGAACAUUCAUAGAAGACAGUGCUGGAACAAAUAUCUGACAUCUCUGAAUACAUAUUUGCCAGUGAUGAAGAAGCUGAAGUAGAAGAUUUGGGGGGUUUUUUGGUAUCUGUCUGGACAUUUGUUUCCCUAUCUGUUUCAAUUCAAAAUUUCCUAGCUCCCAAAGAAACAAGUCCUUGAAUAUAUAUAUUUCUCCAAAUUAUUCUAUGCUGAUUAAAUGGACUUUAUGAUUGAAAAAUGUAGCUAUUGUAUAACAAUUACUAUUAUCAAUACUAUUAUUAUUACUACUUUUUUUUACAUCCUUAUAAAAGUGUCUAGGGAUUUAAUUUUGGCAAAGAAGUGGAUGUCUCUAAGUGUGUAUGUACAUUAUGCUAACAACCUUUCUGUCUGCUCUUACUCAGUUUAGAAGCAUUUUUACUUUCAAGAGACAACUCUGUCAUGAAUAAUAAUAUCAGUAAUAAUAAAACUUAAAAUCUUUUUGUUAA